GGGCUGGCUGAGAUCCCGUGUUGUCUGCUGUGAGCUCCUCUCCAUUUCUUUGUGCUUUGCUGCCCCCAGAGGAUCCAGCCAUGCUGAUUCCCUCAGCAGGACAGAAGGGGGCUUUCAGGCAGCACCUGGAAAUGCUUCAGAUGUGACGCUCACGUUGCUCUCUUCCCUCCUGGGAGGAAUCGCAGGCUGUGUGCUCCACCAGCAUGCUCAGACCUUACACCUGGACUCCACAGCUUUCAUAAAGAUAUUUACGUCUGCGGAUGGUGGUUAAAUCGUGGUUUCUGUGGGCGAUGAGUGCUGGGUCUUCCUAUCUCACCAUCUUGCUGCUGUGCAUCGUUGCCAUUUUAUUUUGCAUUUCCCCGAUGACUAAUCAUGGUGAAGCAUCCAGUGAGUUUCCAUCUGGGAACAGAAUCAAGACAAGCCUGAGUCCAACAUCUGGCAUCCUCUGCACGCAGCUGUCUUUCCCUGAUUCCCCUUCAGUGGGGUCCAAGAAGAGACCAGGCCACCUGAGUAUUGUUAAAUCUGGAACCAAUCCCUGUGUGAUCCCUAAACCAUGAUAUGAUGGGAUUGUCCCCAUCUUUGAAAGAACCCCCAAGUCCAUACUGGUGUGCUGAUCCCAAUUCAGAUUGUUUGAACAAAAUGGUGUCAGAAAUUCCAGUGACCAUUUAAAAGUUUCAUUGGCAUGUCAAGUGAUACUGGGUAAGGUGUUUUCUCCUCUGAUGCCCAGUUUCUCCGCCAGGCAGGGACCACUGUUUGACUGGACUUUGUGAGGCUAAUCAGGCAGGUGGUGUAUGCGUUUUGAGGCAACCAAACUGCCAAGAUGUGACAUAUUUGCUAUAACACAUCAACAGCCACUUUGUUGGAAGAUCAAUGCCUGGUUCAGGCUGUGGAUUUCACCCCCUAUUUCAGACCCAGCUCACUAAAUUGUACGGAAAAUAAAGAUAGGUUGCAAAAUGGAAAUCCACUGAUUACUAGUAUGACAACUGCACUUAUGAGUCACCAGAUGAAAGUGAAGAGAAACAUCACCAGAUUUCCAGAAGCCCCUGUGGUUUCCAUUUUGAAUAAACCUUUCAAAAUUACAUAUAUUUAACCACUAAAUAGAUCAUAUGAGAUUCUUUCUCUUCUUUAUUAACUGGAUUCAUCUUAAGCAUUCCUGCCUCAUGAAAAAUGAUGUCUCUUUCUGAACUUUAUGCAAAGAGAAGGCCCCAC